ACACCCAACCCAAACCCUAAACUCCUCUCCUCACUCUCUCCUCUCUACUGCCGUAAGGCGUCCACGACGGCGCCGCCCGCCGGAAUUCGCCACCGAUGGAGAAGCACCACCAACCAACCUUGAAUUAUCAUCUUAUACUCUCCCCAACCUCCUCUUUCCAUAUCUUCAAACCAAAUCCUCUCAUCAAACUCCACGAAUUUUAGAUCUAGGAAACCCUAGCCACCAUCUUUUUGUCCAAAUUCGUGAAGCUCCAGUCAUCUCCGCCCAAUGACAUAUAGAUCAAUAGAAAGAGCUCUACGAGAUGUAUAUUUUCAUGUCAAUUUCCAUCCCAAAACUCCAACAGAUGCCCGACGUUGCUGUCCGCCGUCGCCGCUGCCUGCUACGACCACCACUGCCUCAGACCUCCGCCACACCACUGCUCCUCUUUUCUUUAGCCUAGUUCGGACCCAAGAAUACUCGUUUUAUUUUAGUAUGACAUCGAUUUCAUUGAGCUUAGUGUCUACUAAAAUAGAAUGAGUGUUCUACGGUUGGACAACCAUUACUCUAGGUCCUCGGCAUCUGUCUUGUUGCUCGAUUUGACAUUGAAUCCCUCCUUAUGGUAAAACAUCAAUUUACUUUUCCUUUUUUUAUCUUUACUGAUUCUGUGUGCUUUUGUAAUUAGUAUUAGUUUUAAGGUUUAAUUUCUAUUCUUGUUAUUUUUAUUUGUGUGAAAAUGAGCUAGGGUAAUAGCGGUUUUCAAUUACAUGUUACUUUAUAAAUGUUAAUUUCAGUUCUUCGACCUACCUGGUCGAGUAUUUUGCUAUUGUCUGUUAGUUAUGAUUUUUGGUUCUUCGACCUAGUCGAUCGACUAUUUUUUGUGAAAUUGUUGAGUUUGAAUUUUCAGUUUUCCGACCUAGCCGGUCGACAGUUAAGUGUUUUAUACUAGUUUCAUGAAAAAAAAGAUUAGUUGAAUCAUUAACUUAGUUAGUCGUUUUGUUUAAUUGUUGAUAAUUUUUGUCUGAUAAUUUACUAAUGCACAUCCAAGUUGUAUUUUAUUCUGUGUUAAUUUGCAUAAAAUCACAUUACUUUAAUUCAGUUUGUUUGGAUGCUCAAUCUGGUUACAAUCAAAGUUUUAUUAUUGCUUUGUCUAUUUGUGAUUGGAUUAGAUUUUGUUAUUUAAGUUUUGUCGAUAAAAGCUGAAUCAAAAUAUGGUACAUAGUUGGUAGUUGUUACUAUUUGAAGCAUGCUAGAAAAAUGACUACUUUACUUUGUGUCUAAACUUGAUGAAAAAGAAAUGUCCUUUCUCCUAUUUGGAUAGUCUUUUUGACUGUAUUUAGUGAGAAAAAGUAAGUCCUUUGAACAGAUUUUUGGUAAACUGAAAUUUGUCCAAAAGUGCUUGCUUUUCCUACUUAAAGGGGUCUCCUCUCACUCUAUACAUAAUCUAUCACACAACUGCCAUAUUUUUUUUUACUCUCUAAAAAACACAACUUUGAAAGUAAAAAUCAACAGCUGAAACACCCUUUACUAAGAUGAAAUUGUUGUUCCAACACGAAUUGGUUGUUUGUUUUGUUGUUGUUCCACUGCUGUUUUCUGCUGCUUUUGUUCUUGAGCUUCCAUUCUUCAUUGUUAUAUUUAUUAUUCUGCAAUACAGGAAACUCUUGAACCUUUUGUACUGCAGAAUUUUCUAAGCAAUAGCUGAAGAUUUGAACCUGUUAGAUUGCUAGAAUAGAGUUGGAUUCAUUCUAUGAGUUUGCUUAAGCGCUUUAACGUUUUUAUGUAUGGCUCAAGCAUGUGAAUAUGUAAUUGAUAGCUAGAAGUACUAUUCUUCCCUAAAUGAAAUCGAAGCACUCUGUCUCGUCUAGUCAUAGAAAAGAUAAUGGACUAGCCAAUAUAUUUUAGGCAAAGUUUUAUAUUGUCUUUUUAAGCAUACACUAUUGUUAAGUAUUCUUAUAAUCAAAGUUCUAGUUAAUUUGGUUAGUUUAAGCAUGAUAUAAGAAGAGAUGUUUGAGGGUUGAUAUGUUUUGGCAUAGUUAAUGAAAUUCGACUUUCCGGUGUUGGAGUGAACUAAUUUGGUCUCCAAUUUUAAUUAACUUCUAUAGGUUAAUCAAGUAUACAAUCUUAGCGAGUAAAUAUGCAUUUUCUCUUUUAGCAGGUUAGUUGGGUAGUAAUUAUUUAUUAAGUAAAAUGAGAUCUAUCCAUGCAUUUAAUUUAUU
rnacentral:lncRNA from 1 species